GAGUUUGAUCUUGGCUCAGAUUGAACGCUGGCGGCAGGCCUAACACAUGCAAGUCGGGCGGUAGAGAGAAGCUUGCUUCUCUUGAGAGCGGCGGACGGGUGAGUAAUGCCUAGGAAUCUGCCUGGUAGUGGGGGAUAACGCUCGGAAACGGACGCUAAUACCGCAUACGUCCUACGGGAGAAAGCAGGGGACCUUCGGGCCUUGCGCUAUCAGAUGAGCCUAGGUCGGAUUAGCUAGUUGGUGAGGUAAUGGCUCACCAAGGCGACGAUCCGUAACUGGUCUGAGAGGAUGAUCAGUCACACUGGAACUGAGACACGGUCCAGACUCCUACGGGAGGCAGCAGUGGGGAAUAUUGGACAAUGGGCGAAAGCCUGAUCCAGCCAUGCCGCGUGUGUGAAGAAGGUCUUCGGAUUGUAAAGCACUUUAAGUUGGGAGGAAGGGCAGUAAAUUAAUACUUUGCUGUUUUGACGUUACCGACAGAAUAGGCACCGGCUAACUCUGUGCCAGCAGCCG
rnacentral:rRNA from 1 species